AGAGACUACAGGAAUAAAGUUGGAAGCUUUGGAGGGUGUCCUGUUGGAAGAGUGGCAUUGAAGGUGUAAAGAUGGCUAGAAAUACCAGGUUGAGCCACUGAGUCAAGAUGAGCAGUGCACAACUGGAUCUUUGUUGAUACACAUGGAUAGUGUGCGCUUAGCAGAUAUGGAUCUUUACCUGAAAGAUGGCUUUAUAAUUCAAUAGCUGAUGAGAUCAGAUUUCCAAGCCCAUGGAACUGUUGAACUCAGGCACAGUGGAAUUCCAUUGCCAGGCUUUGGCAGCCUGCCUGCCGGACGAAUAAGAUCAGCCUAACAUUCAUUCAAACUGCAGGUCAACACAGACUCCUCAGAGAUGCUCAAAUUGUGCUCUGAAGUUGUCCUUAACAGCCACAAUAAAUAAUUCUCUCGUUGCUUUGUCCUA